GGAGUCUAGCAUGUGCGCGAGUCAUUGGGAUUCGUUGNUAAACCUAAAGGCGAAAUGAAAGUGAAGGCGUGCCUUGCGCACGCCGAGGGAGGAUGGGUGCGAUUCGCGUCGCUGCCCCGCACUCCCGGGGCGUCUCGUUCUCAUUGCGAGAAGAGGCGCACCCAGAGCGUACACGCUGGGACCCGAAAGAUGGUGAACUAUGCCUGGUCAGGACGAAGUCAGGGGAAACCCUGAUGGAGGUCCGUAGCGAUUCUGACGUGCAAAUCGAUCGUCGGAACUGGGUAUAGGGGCGAAAGACUAAUCGAACCAUCUAGUAGCUGGUUCCCUCCGAAGUUUCCCUCAGGAUAGCUGGCGCUCGUAAUAGAGCGAGUCUCAUCCGGUAAAGCGAAUGAUUAGAGGCAUUGGGGUCGAAACGGCCUCAACCUAUUCUCAAACUUUAAAUGGGUGAGAUCUCCGGCUUGCUUAAAUCGAUUGAUUAUUCGAUCGUGAAGCCGGAGAUCGGAUCAGAGUGCCAAGUGGGCCACUUUUGGUAAGCAGAACUGGCGCUGUGGGAUGAACCAAACGCAGAGUUAAAGCGCCUAAAUCGACGCUUAUGGGAUACCAUGAAAGGCGUUGGUAACUUAAAACAGCAGGACGGUGGCCAUGGAA
rnacentral:rRNA from 1 species